rnacentral:rRNA from 1 species
UACAGAGGGGGCAAGCGUUGUUCGGAAUUACUGGGCGUAAAGGGCGCGUAGGCGGCCUGCUAAGUCGAACGUGAAAUCCCUGGGCUCAACCCAGGAACUGCGUCCGAUACUGGUUGGCUUGAAUACGGGAGAGGGAUGUGGAAUUCCAGGUGUAGCGGUGAAAUGCGUAGAUAUCUGGAGGAACACCGGUGGCGAAGGCGACAUCCUGGACCGGUAUUGACGCUGAGGCGCGAAAGCCAGGGGAGCAAACGGG